GAUGAAGAACGUAGCGAAAUGCGAUAAGUAGUGUGAAUUGCAGAAGUACCGUGAAUCAUCGAAUCUUUGAACGCAAAUUGCACUCUCUGGUAUUCCGGGGAGUAUGCCUGUUUGAGGGUCGCUUAACAAACCAUCGAUUUCGUUGCUUUUUUUUUAAAGAGUGAUGUUUAUCGGAUUUGAGCCGUCUUUUUUUUUUAUAUUUAAAAGUGGCUUAAAAUUGAUUUUUUUGGUACGAUCGAAGCGUAUUUUUAUGAUCAAUUUUUGGUUAAAGAAACGCACACGUACCGUUAUUUAUAUGAUGUAAUACGUUUGACUAUUGGAUUUAGUUCAUUCGUAUACGAUAUCUUUCAAUAUUUGACCUCAAAUCAGGUAAGAACACCCGCUGAACUUAAGCAUAUCAAUAAGCGGAGGA
rnacentral:misc_RNA from 1 species